rnacentral:rRNA from 1 species
CAAUAAGCGGAGGAAAAGAAACCACCAGGGAUUACCUCAGUAACGGCGAGUGAAGCGGUAACAGCUCAAAUUUGAAAGCUAGCUCUUUUAGGGUUCGCAUUGUAAUUUGUAGAAGAUGCUUCGGGUGUGGCCCCGGUCUAAGUUCCUUGGAACAGGACGUCAUAGAGGGUGAGAAUCCCGUAUGUGACUGGGUGCUUUCGCUCAUGUGAAGCUCUUUCGACGAGUCGAGUUGUUUGGGAAUGCAGCUCAAAAUGGGUGGUAAAUUUCAUCUAAAGCUAAAUAUUGGCCAGAGACCGAUAGCGCACAAGUAGAGUGAUCGAAAGAUGAAAAGCACUUUGGAAAGAGAGUUAAACAGUACGUGAAAUUGUUGAAAGGGAAGCGCUUGCAACCAGACUUGCGCGCUGAUGAUCAUCCGGGCUUCUGCCCGGUGCACUCGUCUGCGCUCAGGCCAGCAUCGGUUUCGGUGGUGGGAUAAAGGCCUUGGGAAUGUAGCUCCUCUCGGGGAGUGUUAUAGCCCUCGGUGCAAUGCCGCCUACCGGGACCGAGG